UUCAUGACCCGUAUCUUCCUCUGCAACACAUAACCCUAGCUGCGCCUCCACCUAAUUCUUUCUUCUUCUCUUUUUUCUUCCUUUCUAUCUGGAGAGUACUCUAUUUGAGAAGCGAUGGCUACAACUGUUUCGCUUCUGAGGUUUUAAGCCUUCGAUCAGUUAACCCUUUUUCGAUUCUAUCAUAUUUUCAGUUAAUUUUGGCAGCGAGAAUUUAGAAGCUGAAGAUGACUACCAUUGAUUUUGUUGAUGGAUGUGGAGCUUACGAUGGGUUAUAGACUUCUCCGGAAAAAUGGGUUUAAUUUCGAUUGAAUAACAAGGAAAACAGACAGAGUUUCACGAUUAUUAUGAGAGUUCCUGAAAUGGUGAAGAAGAAGACUGAUACGCUUUCAACAAGGUAUAAAAAUCAACAAACCCAAACAAAACUCUUUUUUUGUUGUUGUUAUAGAUGUUACUAUUUGUUCUCAAUGCAAAUUCGGGAUUUCAAAUUUGUGGAUUUUGAUUUUGAACUUUGGGUUCUCAAUUUGGGGAUUAAAAUGCGAAAUUAGGUUUUCGUAACAACCAGGGGCAGAGGGAUUCUGGAAAGGUCUUUAUGCUUACAAUUUUGAUUUUGUUUAAAUUUCUUUCAAAGUGUAUGUUUAAAUACUUAAAUGAAUGAUUUGGUUGGAUUUGAGAACGGAAAAGUCUUUCCUUAAAUGAAUGUGAUGUACCAUCUGGGGUUUACUUGGUUAGUGUUCUGAUAAUUUAUAGUGUUUUGAUGAUUUAUGACUAAUCUGAUAAUUUCUGGAUAUCACAAUCAAUAUCAAAGGGUUGACGUCUAAACAUGGGGCUUGCCCUUACGGAUAGUGAACCUCAUAACACCUACCCGCAUCUCCGUUGUUUUACCAAAUAAUAGAAGAGAAUGGUCGUCGUCCAGUCUCAGCUAACUUUCAUGUAUGAGUGGCUCAGUUUUUAUUUUGUUUUCAUCUAUUGAUGUUAAAAAGCUAAAGACAUGUUUAAGAACACAGCCAGUAGAUGUGGUUUGAUUUUUCAUGUUUGUCCAGCGAAUAUAUUGAUAACGGGUGGGUUAUCUUCAUGUUUCUUUGUAUGCUUUUUUGAUUUUUGUAACUUAGAAAUGAAAUUUUCACUAUACAAUAGUUAAGUAAAUGUGGUACGAGGAAAUGUAUGAAAACAUAAUAGAGAUAUACAAUAUAUUCUCUAAUAAUAACAGUUGCCCAUUAGGAUGAAGUGGGCAUACAUUUGCAAAUUGUGUGCAUGUAGGUCAGGUAGGUAAGACAGCUUAACCAUCCUAUCAAGGUUGGAAUUGUGGAGAGGAGUAUAUAUGGUCCUCUUUCAAGAAUAGAGGUACGCCAUUCUCUUGCCUGCAUUGCAAAAUACAAUUGGGCACCGAUUGAAAUUUUCAUUUGACGGGGUCUGUGUGCUUUUGAUCUCAAAAGGCACAUAGGCAUUCAGCAGGUACCAUCUUUCAUCACAUGUUGCAACUUUUUAAUGGAAACACUAUGUUUUUUAUUUUGUGAGUUAGCGGGUUUACUUCUUUUUUGACUUCUUAAAUAUGUGAACUCUUAUUUUCUCCACUGCCAAGUCGCGGACUCAUCUCAUCUCGCCUCAAACAGUCGGCAUAGGAAUUGACAUCCAUUUCCCUGUUUCUCUUUGUAUAACAGUGUGUUUGAAGUAUUAGGUACUGAAUCACAUACCUUCAUCUGAGAAUCUGAUGUCUGAGAAGGUGAAGCUAAAGGAACUACUGAUCAAAUUGGCACAACCUAUUUUUCUGCAAAGUUGAGUCCUGGUAUUGGAUAUUCAUGAAGAUCUGGAUUAUAUGGUAUCACAUUGGUUUUAGAUUGUUUGAGCAAUAAGUCUUCGUGAGCAGUGAAUUAAAGAUGCGAAAAAGAAAGAAGUGGAUGGGAGAGGUGUGGUAGCGCUGUGGUAUCCGGUCAACCUGGUGAUGCUCUAAAACUAAAGUCUGAAGCACUUGGAAUUUUGAGAGAGGAAAUAUGCUAUUGAAGUUAAUGCCAGAUCAAGCCUUGAAUUUGCUCAAUGCUUUUAUUCUUUUUGCAUUUGAUAAAGAUCUUACUCAUCCAAUUGAUUGUGUUCUGUGUUAUUGGUUGCAUAGAUUAACAUUGCAGUGGACAUUUGAUUCCAACAGGAACUUACUGUGCUCUUCUUCUUUUUAUUUUUUUUCUGGUGACUUGAUAUCUCUUAUUCA